rnacentral:rRNA from 1 species
UACGGAAGGGGCAAGCGUUGUUCGGAAUCAUUGGGCGUAAAGGGCGCGUAGGUGGUCCUGUAUGUCUGCCGUGAAAGCACACGGCUUAACCGUGUAGAGUCGGUAGAAACUGCAGGACUUGAGGUUGGGAGGGGCUGGUGGAAUUCCCUGUGUAGCGGUGAAAUGCGUAGAGAUGGGGGAGAACACUUGUGGCGAAGGCGGCCAGCUGGACCAAUUCUGACACUGAGGCGCGACAGCGUGGGGAGCAAACAGG